UACAGAGGGGGCAAGCGUUGUUCGGAAUUACUGGGCGUAAAGGGCGCGUAGGCGGCCGCCUAAGUCAGACGUGAAAUCCCGGGGCUCAACCUCGGAAUUGCCUUUGAUACUGUCUGUCUUGAGUCCGGGAGAGGUGAGUGGAAUUCCUAGUGUAGAGGUGAAAUUCGUAGAUAUUAGGAAGAACACCAGUGGCGAAGGCGGCUCACUGGCCCGGUACUGACGCUCAUGUGCGAAAGCGUGGGGAGCAAACAGG
rnacentral:rRNA from 1 species